rnacentral:rRNA from 1 species
UAAAAUGACUCUCGGCAACGGAUAUCUCGGCUCUCGCAUCGAUGAAGAACGUAGCGAAAUGCGAUACUUGGUGUGAAUUGCAGAAUCCCGUGAACCAUCGAGUCUUUGAACGCAAGUUGCGCCCGAAGCCAUUAGGUUGAGGGCACGUCUGCCUGGGUGUCACA